GACGUAGGAUGCAAGCGUUGUCCGGAUUUCUUGGGCGUAAAGAGUUCGUAGGUGGUUUGUUAAGUCUGAUGUUAAAGACUGGGGCUCAACCUCGGAAAUGCAUUGGAUACUGGCAGACUUGAGUGUGGUAGAGGCAAUCGGAAUUCCAGGUGUAGCGGUGAAAUGCGUAGAUAUCUGGAAGAACACCGGUGGCGCAAGCGGAUUGCUGGGCCAUAACUGACACUGAGGAACGAAAGCUAGGGUAGCGAAUGGG
rnacentral:rRNA from 1 species